GACAGAGGUGCCGAGCGUUAGGCGGAAUCACUGGGCUUAAAGCGUGUGUAGGCGGACUUCUAAGUACCUUGUGAAAUCCCACGGCUUAACCGUGGAACUGCUUGGUAUACUGGUUGUCUUGGGCCAUCUAGGGGCUACCGGAACAAACGGUGGAGCGGUGAAAUGCGUAGAUAUGUGGAGGAAUACCGAUGGCGAAGGCAGCCCCCUGGGAUAACACUGACGCUCAUGCACGAAAGCGUGGGGAGCAAACAGG
rnacentral:rRNA from 1 species